GGAGGUAACACGUGGGUAAUCUGCCCCGAUGACUGGGACAACCCGAGGAAACUCGGGCUAAUACCGGAUGUGGUGCCUGGACUCAAGUCCGGUCACUAAAGGUAGCUUCGGCUUCCGCAUUGGGAGGGGCCCGCGGCCCAUUAGCUUGUUGGUGGGGUCAAGGCCUACCAAGGCAACGAUGGGUAGCUGGUCUGAGAGGACGAUCAGCCACACUGGGACUGAGACACGGCCCAGACUCCUACGGGAGGCAGCAGUGGGGAAUCUUGCGCAAUGCGCGAAAGCGUGACGCAGCAACACCGCGUGAGGGAAGACGGCCUUAGGGUUGUAAACCUCUUUCAGAUGGGACGAAGGUGAUGCGGUGAAUAGCCGAUGUCAUUGACGGUACCGUCAGAAGAAGCUCCGGCUAACUACGUG
rnacentral:rRNA from 1 species